UACGAAGGGGGCUAGCGUUGCUCGGAAUCACUGGGCGUAAAGGGUGCGUAGGCGGGUCUUUUAAGUCAGGGGUGAAAUCCUGGAGCUCAACUCCAGAACUGCCUUUGAUACUGAGGAUCUUGAGUUCGGGAGAGGUGAGUGGAACUGCGAGUGUAGAGGUGAAAAUUCGUAGAUAUUCGCAAGAACACCAGUGGCGAAGGCGGCUCACUGGCCCGAUACUGAC
rnacentral:rRNA from 1 species